AUAAACAUGUAGCAGGGUCAUAUUUUCGUAUGACAGUAUUAUGAAACGUGUCAGCUCUUUCCGGUGUUUUAUUUCUUUAGGUUUUGAUAAGUUCUUGCUGGUCUUUUAUUUUCUUGUUUUCUUUGUGAUCUCGCGAGAGUUUGGCGGGAAUGUUGUGCAGGUUUUGAAAAGAGUUUACAUGGUUGAUGUAGAGAACAUUCUGUUAAUUUGAACUUGUUUAUAUGAUUUAUAUUUGGUUGAGCUAUCCAAGUGUUUGUGAGAAGUAUUUAAGUUAACCAUCACGUGAGACAGGAUGUAUGUGAAGUGAAAUGAUGUAAAUUAUAACAUUGUAUUGUGGAAUAGGCUUAACAUCCCUUAGAUCUUGCCUUGAUUAAAGUUGACUUCAAUAGAGAAGAUAUAUUGUAUAUUCAUGAGAUUGACUGUAUAUGUAAAUUGGAAACAAUAAAAUGAAUUACCACAUCUACCCUGUGUUAUAACACCAUGUGUUACAA